rnacentral:rRNA from 1 species
GACGAACGCUGGCGGCGUGCCUAACACAUGCAAGUCGAGCGGAGAUAGGCGGAAGGUAACUGAAGCUUAUCUUAGCGGCGGACGGGUGAGUAACACGUGGGCAACCUGCCUUGAAGUGGGGGAUAACACCGGGAAAUCGGUGCUAAUACCGCAUAACAUGCACAAACUGCAUGGUGAGUGUAUCAAAGGAGCAAUCCGCUUUAAGAUGGGCCCGCGGCUGAUUAGCUAGUUGGUAAGGUAACGGCUUACCAAGGCGACGAUCAGUAGCCGACCUGAGAGGGUGACCGGCCACACUGGAACUGAGACACGGUCCAGACUCCUACGGGAGGCAGCAGUGGGGAAUAUUGCGCAAUGGGGGGAACCCUGAUGCAGCGACGCCGCGUGAGCGAAGAAGGCCUUGGUCGUAAAGCUCUGUCCUAAGGGAAGAAACGGACGGUACCUUAGGAGGAAGCCCCGGCUAACUACGUG